rnacentral:rRNA from 1 species
AACGAACGCUGGCGGCAUGCCUAACACAUGCAAGUCGAACGAUCCCUUCGGGGAUAGUGGCGCACGGGUGCGUAACGCGUGGGAACCUGCCCUUAGGUUCGGAAUAAUUCAGAGAAAUUUGAGCUAAUACCGGAAAAUGUCUUCGGACCAAAGAUUUAUCGCCUUUGGAUGGGCCCGCGUUGGAUUAGCCAGUUGGGGGGGUAAACGCCUACCAAGGCGACGAUCCCUAGCGGGUUGGAGAGGAAGAGACGCCACACUGGGGCUGAGACACGGCCCAGACUCCUACGGGAGGCAGCAGUGGGGAAUAUUGGACAAUCGGCUAGGUCCUGAUCCAGCUAUGCCGCGUGAGUGAUGAAGGCCUUAGGGUUGUAAAGCUCUUUUACCCGGGGUGAUAAUGACGGUACCGGGAGAAUAAGCACCGGCUAACUCCGUG